rnacentral:rRNA from 1 species
AAUAGCUCACUGGUCUAGUGAUUUUGCGCGGAAAAUAUAACGGGGCUAAAGUAAGUACCGAAGCUGUAGACUUAGUUUACUAAGUGGUAGGAGAGCGUUCUAUUUGCGUCGAAGGUAUACCGGUAAGGAGUGCUGGAGCGAAUAGAAGUGAGCAUGCAGGCAUGAGUAGCGAUAAUUAAUGUGAGAAUCAUUAACGCCGUAAACCCAAGGUUUCCUACGCGAUGCUCGUCAUCGUAGGGUUAGUCGGGUCCUAAGUCGAGUCCGAAAGGGGUAGACGAUGGCAAAUUGGGUAAUAUUCCAAUACCAACAUUAGUGUGCGAUGGAAGGACGCUUAGGGCUAAGGGGGCUAGCGGAUGGAAGUGCUAGUCUAAGGUCGUAGGAGGUUAUACAGGCAAAUCCGUAUAACAAUACUCCGAGAACUGAAAGGCUUUUUGAAGUCUUCGGAUGGAUAGAAGAACCCCUGAUGCCGUCGAGCCAAGAAAAGUUUCUAAGUUUAGCUAAUGUUGCCCGUACCGUAAACCGACACAGGUGGGUGGGAUGAGUAUUCUAAGGCGCGUGGAAGAACUCUCUUUAAGGAACUCUGCAAAAUAGCACCGUAUCUUCGGUAUAAGGUGUGGUUAGCUUUGUAUUAGGAUUUACUCCGAAAGCAAGGAAACUUACAACAAAGAGUCCCUC